UAGAUGAUGGAAUGCUGGAUUGUCAGAAACAUCAAUUAUGAAAAUCAUUUUUACAAGAAGUCAGUAGAAGAGAUAGCAGCAAAUGGUCGUACUCAGUUGAUAACUUCCUCUCAGGUGCGGUACUGCCCUGAUGUCUUCACAGAGAGGUGAAAAUGUUUGAUGCAAGGGUAGAUGUUGAAUGUGCCCCAUUCAUGAGGUAGCUGAAGAAGAAAGAACCUGACUGCAGGCACGAUUACAUUCCAUUGAAUGCUAUCAAGAGAGUUCUCAGCUGUGCAAAUCUAAAUUUACAUCAGAGGUCAGUUCCAAGCCCAGACAUAUUUCAUGGGUUUUGCAGGCAUUUCUGCUUUGGAAAGUUAAAACUACAUGGUGCAUAGGAACCAUUAGAAACAAAUGUUUUAUAUGUUUUCAUUCUUUCCCACCUGCCAAGACAUUUCCUUGAUGACUGCAGCCAAGAAAACCAUUACAGAUGAAGCUUAGGUUAAAAUAAAUUGAUUUAAAGUCUACAGGAUGCUGGCUUGGGCGGAAUUUCUCUGUAUAAAUAAAAAAAAAAUUAUCUAAAUUUUUAUGUAUGUGUGUGUUUAAUACAUACACAUGGCAUACAAUGUAGCAGGAUGCAGAUAGAAAUGAAUCAAAUAGGUCUGGAACUAUAUAGGGAGGUAUGGAUUUAUGAGAGGGGACUACAAGAAGACCUGCAUAUCUACAGUGUAUGCAGAUUUUAUUGUACAUGAUGGACCAGUUUUUGUAGUCUUUUUAGUAUGCUUCAGCCUAAUUUUUUAGUGUAUUAGCAGUUUGGAAAAUGUGGGGAAAUGAACUUUUGUAUUGUAAAGGUUAAUUUCUGAAUUUACAAAUGUCAGAUUCAAGCAAGUUACAUACAUCUAUGCCUACUUCUACAAAACCAGUCUGAAGCCUCUUUACUGUGAUCUCUUAUUCAGUGUUUUAUGGAUGUCUAUUUACCUUUUUGUUUGGGAGCUUGAGAUUCUGGUUCUGUGUUGCUGCUAGACACAAGCACUACUGCAUCUGUCACAAGUGCAAGUCUGAGUUCAGCCUCACAAGUAUGAAUGAUUGCAUUGGAGUUAAUUAAAAUGAUGGCUAGACAUUUUAUCUGAGUUUUUCAGGACUGAGGCAUUACUUAGGUCAUUUACUACAGAUAAUAAUUAACUCUCCUUGUUUUGUUCUGCGAUCAACUUAGAAUUUUGCCCAAACAUACAAACAAGUAAAAUUAUAUCCAGUGGAGUAAAAAAUGUCAUCUGCAAAUGCAUAGCAAAUAGAGAGUGUGAAAUAUGAGAUAGGAAAGAAAGGUGAUAGAAACAGUGGCAACAUGAGAACUAGGCAUAUGUCUUGAUACAGAUAAAAGGGAGGUGAAAAUCAGUACGAUAGUAAGAAUUGUUGCUAAAGUCUGUAACUAGCUCCUGCCUCUGCCAUUUCCAAAAUCACGCCUUCUGCCACUAGCUUCUUUGUUGUCUGCCUAUGCUAACAGGAGCAGCAAAGAUCAGUAGUUAGUUUUCUCUGCCUCUGACAUCUUAAAGAUUGUUUCUUGUGUAAUAUAUUCAACUCACACCUACCUUGUCUGAAAACACCUGAGAGUAACAAAUCCUAAACAAAACAUAGCAGUAAUCUCAGUUUUGAUUCCAUUUUCUAAACCAUUAUAGGAGACAGCAGUGUUGAAACAGAACCCAUUGAAUUUUAAAGAAUGUUUCUGCAAAUGCAAGUACCUUUUCUCUCUCUCUCUCUUUCUCUCUCUCUGUAAUACUUUGUGUUGUUGAGUGGACAAAACAUGAAAGGACUUUUUUCAUCAUGCUGUUAAUCUGAUAAACACCUUUAAGGAAAAUACUUCUCCAAAAGAAAGCCCUGUGUUCUCUCCAUAUAAGCUGAUCUGCUAAUACUACUUUGUAUACCCAUUUGUUGGUUGCUAUUGAAAAAUACUGUGUACUUGGUAUAUUUAUAAUAAAGCAUACUUUUGUGACACU
rnacentral:lncRNA from 7 species